rnacentral:rRNA from 1 species
UACAGAGGUCUCAAGCGUUGUUCGGAUUCAUUGGGCGUAAAGGGUGCGUAGGCGGCACUGUAAGUCGGGUGUGAAGUCCUGGGGCUUAACCCCGGAACUGCAUUCGAUACUGCCGUGCUAGAGGACUGGAGAGGAGACUGGAAUUUACGGUGUAGCGGUGAAAUGCGUAGAUAUCGUAAGGAAGACCAGUGGCGAAGGCGGGUCUCUGGACAGUUCCUGACGCUGAGGCGCGGAAGCGUGGGGAGCAAACAGG